AGAAGGAGGGAAGGAGGGAAGGAAGGAAGGGAGGAAGGAAGGGAGGGAGGAAGGAAGGGAGGAAGGGAGGGAGGGAGGAAGGACGGAAGGAAGGAAGGAAGGAAGGAAGGGAGGGAGGAAGGGAGGAAGGAAGGGAGGGAGGAAGGGAGGAAUGAAUGGAGGCAGGAAGGAAAAUAGCACCGACGCAGGAAGAGGAAAUUGCUGGAAGCAAUGGCAGAAGAGACAGAACAUGGCCAAGCAGCAAGAAGUGUAAAGUGAUGCUCCUGCAUGAUUUGUUGUGGUCCCUUCUGUCCUUUUUCCUCUUCAGCUGUCUGCCUGCAUCUUCCUGCAGAGAGGAACAGAACAUGCAGCGUGCCGGAAGUUGGUUGGUGACCCUUCCAUGCUGCUGCUGCCAGUGUAUGGUGAUUCCAUGGUGCAAGCCAACAUGGAGACAUCCGCUGAGGAAACAAGAUGUUUGCAUGGACAUCAACAAGGAAAGGGAUGUGCUCAAUGCCUUUUGCUGGUUGUUUGGUGAGUAUGCACUUUUUCUGGUGCUUCUGGUUGUGCAAAGUAAAGAGUUUGAGCCCUCUUGUUAAUUAACUCC